rnacentral:rRNA from 1 species
GUGCCAGCCGCCGCGGUAAUACAGAGGUGGCAAGCGUUGUUCGGAAUUACUGGGCGUAAAGGGCGCGUAGGCGGCCUUCUUAGUCAGACGUGAAAUCCCUAGGCUUAACCUAGGAACUGCGUCUGAUACUGGAAGGCUCGAGUUCGGGAGAGGAAUGUGGAAUUCCAGGUGUAGCGGUGAAAUGCGUAGAUAUCUGGAGGAACACCGGUGGCGAAGGCGGCAUUCUGGACCGAAACUGACGCUGAGGCGCGAAAGCCAGGGGAGCAAACGGGAUUAGAAACCCGCGUAGUCC